CCUACGGGUGGCAGCAGUGGGGAAUAUUGCACAAUGGGGGAAACCCUGAUGCAGCGACGCCGCGUGAGUGAAGAAGCGUUUCGGCGCGUAAAGCUCUUUCAGCGGAGAAGAAACACGGUUCGCGAGAGCCGCGGACGGUACCCGACCAAGAAACGCAGGCUAACUACGUGCCAGCAGACGCGGUAAUACGUAGGGGGCAAGGGUUAUCCGGAUUCACUGGGUGAAAAGGGGGCGUAGACGGCGAGAAAAGUCUGUGGUGAAAGUCCGGGGCCCAACCCCGGGACUGCCUUGGAAACGGCGUGGCUGGAGUACAGGAGAGGUAAGUGGAAUUCCUAGUGUGCGGUGAAAUGCGUAGAUAUUAGGAGGAACACCAGUGGCGAAGGCGGCUUACUGGACUGUAACUGACGUUGAGGCUCGAAAGCGUGGGGAGCAAACAGGAUUAGAUACCCUUGUAGUC
rnacentral:rRNA from 1 species